UUCCCGUUUUCCACUCUUACACACAGUGCUGCAAUGCCUGUCUUUGUGCAGUUGUCCCAGUACUUCUGUGAGGCAAAUUCCUGCAAAUCACACUUCUGGUUUAAGAGAGAGAGCCCUGCUGCAGAUGAACCGUUUUCUUCGUUUUCAGUGAAAGCCCUGCUCCUGCUGGCUGCUCUCACCCUGAAGCACAUCUCGAGGGACACAUCUGAAGUCUGCAGAUGCACCGGUCCGGGUCCCUGCCCUGAAUGAGAGGAGGCAGCCUUCCUCUCACUGGAUCAUCACCGAUAUCAGCUUCUUGAGGACACAGUCUGAGUGCUGAGUGUUCUAUUUUCAUCCCCUGGCAGAGGGCCUGGUUCCCAGUCAGCGCCCAGUAAAUAUUGAAAGAAGGAACACUGUUCUUCAAAGUAGGGUGUGUGUGUGUUCAGUGCUGGGCGGCUCCAGCCUGCGCCAUGGGCAGUCAGAGUGGCUCCUGUCGGCCUGCGCGGGCUCUCUGAAGGAAGAGGUGCUGACGUGGAUGUAAA